CGAAAGCCUGACGGAGCAAGACCGCGUGAGGGAGGAAGGCUCUUGGGUUGUAAACCUCUUUUCUCAGGGAAGAAGCUCUGACGGUACCUGAGGAAUCAGCCUCGGCUAACUCCGUGCCAGCAGCCGCGGUAAUACGGAGGAGGCAAGCGUUAUCCGGAAUUAUUGGGCGUAAAGCGUCCGUAGGUGGUUAUUCAAGUCUGCUGUCAAAGCGUGGGGCUUAACUCCAUAGAGGCAGUGGAAACUGGGUGACUAGAGUGCGGUAGGGGUCGAGGGAAUUCCCAGUGUAGCGGUGAAAUGCGUAGAUAUUGGGAAGAACACCAGUGGCGAAAGCGCUCGACUGGGCCUGCACUGACACUGAGGGACGAAAGCUAGGGGAGCG
rnacentral:rRNA from 1 species